CCACACUUAUUCUUUUACUUCCUUUAUUGCUGAUGCUUUACUUCCUGCUGCCGUUCCAUCUGACAUUAACAGCAUACUCACGUUACUCCAGGACUGAGUCACUACGAGCUGUGUGUGGAAGCUAGGCUAACAAGCUGAGCUAACUUAGCGCCCUUGGAAACGGAAGGAGUGUUUAAGUGAGAUUCUAAAGUCACACCUGAAAGUCGGAUGGCUGCGGUGAACGUCAGUGUCUCAAAGAGAAGCCAAUGGAGGAGCCAAGAUCACAGAUGCCUUUUUACAGCUACAGGAGGAGGUCCCUUAACCCACUGAAGUCUCCGGUAAGAGCUGACUUAAUAUCACAAUUUUCCCAUCCAAAAACUUGCUGGUUGACGUAGAUAAACAUGUUCGCUUGACCGCUCUGGGUUAAACCUUCACAACAAAGAAACACCGGCUGUGUCUCGGUGCUAAAGGCAGCUGCAA